GCUUUAACUUUUCCGGCCAGAAUAAUUCGUCAAGAGUUCGACGAACUUGCAGUGGGUGCAAACUCAGUUGAUUGUGACUUUAAUUGGAUUGUUGCAAAGGUUUCUUGUAGUGAUUCAAGCAACUCUUCCGGGUGAAGCAUUCAGUCGACAUGCUUAGGAUGAUUUCUGAGCAUACUUGAGCAGGCAGAAGGUUUUCACGAAACUUCUUUUCUGAAUUUAAUAUUGCCCAGCUUAUUAUGUUUUUCAUUAUUUUCUAGUGUAGUUCAUUUUGUGGUAGCUUCUGUCUAGCACAUUGUGUCCUACUACUCAGCUAAUUUGAAAAUUAGCUUAUGUAUAGCAUGUGCAUGUUGUCCUAGCACUCGACUAGCUCUGAUAAAAUUGCAACUGCAGCUAGGCUUGUUAAUGCUAGCUGCUCAAAUUAAGUAAGCGAUAUCAUUUGAGCAUGUAUUUCACUCAUAAUGGUUAUCAACCUCAGUGAACUGUCUACUGUCAUUUGUUUUGGAUACAUGGGUAUGGACACUUGUUUCACUGGUGUGUCAAUAUAUUCAAGGUUGGUCGUCUAGCUGAGGCCGCAGAGUUGAUUCAUCUAGCCGAUGUGUCAGUAUGUCUAAUUUCAAUCAUUUGCUGGAUCAUGGGGUCAAAAACAACUGUCAUCUUUUCGUUUGGAUUAUGUGGGUAUUGAGACAUGUUUCACUGAUGUGUAACUAUAUUCAAGGUUGUUGAUUUAGCAAUUGAGGCCGCAAAAAGUUGAUUGAUCUAGCAGAUGUGCUAAUAUAUCAUGAUGUUAAAAGCAACUGCCCAAAGAGAUUCCAGCAGCCAUAUCUCAUACCUUGUGACAGUUAGAGAUCAGUUGACAUGGUCAGGAUUAUGUUUGAGCAAAUUCUUGCCACUGGUAAAGUACGACCACUGAUAUUGAGUUUAAGUUGUCUGAGGGAGAUUUUGAAGCAACAAGAAAAGACACUACUGAAAUUGAGCGUACAAUGUCAAAUUCCAUCGAAGAUUUUGAAGCAGUUGAAGCAACAUGACAAGCUGCCUGUUGGACUGUAAGUUACUUGGUUU